CCUACGGGUGGCAGCAGUGGGGAAUAUUGCACAAUGGGCGCAAGCCUGAUGCAGCCAUGCCGCGUGUGUGAAGAAGGCCUUCGGGUUGUAAAGCACUUUCAGCGGGGAGGAAGGCGGUGAGGUUAAUAACCUCAUCGAUUGACGUUACCCGCAGAAGAAGCACCGGCUAACUCCGUGCCAGCAGCCGCGGUAAUACGGAGGGUGCAAGCGUUAAUCGGAAUUACUGGGCGUAAAGCGCACGCAGGCGGUCUGUCAAGUCGGAUGUGAAAUCCCCGGGCUCAACCUGGGAACUGCAUUCGAAACUGGCAGGCUAGAGUCUUGUAGAGGGGGGUAGAAUUCCAGGUGUAGCGGUGACAUGCGUAGAGAUCUGGAGGAAUACCGGUGGCGAAGGCGGCCCCCUGGACAAAGACUGACGCUCAGGUGCGAAAGCGUGGGGAGCAAACAGGAUAGAUACCCCGGUAGUC
rnacentral:rRNA from 1 species